AUGCUCACUUUGGCAACACACACAUAAAAUGGCAAUGAUACAGAGAAGAUUAGCAUACCCCCUGUGCAAGAAUGAUAUACAAAUUCAUGAUGUGAUCCAUAUUUUU
rnacentral:snRNA from 1 species